CUUAUACUCCCUCCGUUCGGAAUUACUUGUCGCGGAAAUGGAUGUAUCUAGACUUAUUUUAGUUCUAGAUACAUCCAUUUUCGAGACAAGUAAUUCCGAACGGAGGGAGUACCUU
rnacentral:pre_miRNA from 1 species